rnacentral:rRNA from 1 species
UACAGAGGGUGCAAGCGUUGUUCGGAAUUAUUGGGCGUAAAGCGCGUGUAGGCGGCCAAGCAAGUCGGGUGUGAAAGCCCUCAGCUUAACUGAGGAAGUGCGCCCGAAACUACGUGGCUUGAGUACCGGAGAGGGUGGCGGAAUUCCCGGUGUAGAGGUGAAAUUCGUAGAUAUCGGGAAGAACAUCGGUGGCGAAAGCGCUCUACUGGACCACAACUGACACUCAGGGACGAAAGCUAGGGGAGCGAAUGGG